rnacentral:rRNA from 1 species
UUACCUGCGGAAGGAUCAUUA